GAUGAACGCUGGCGGCGUGCUUAACACAUGCAAGUCGAACGGGAAUUACUUUAUUGAAACUUCGGUCGAUUUAAUUUAAUUCUAGUGGCGGACGGGUGAGUAACGCGUGGGUAACCUGCCUUAUACAGGGGGAUAACAGUCAGAAAUGACUGCUAAUACCGCAUAAGCGCACAGAGCUGCAUGGCUCAGUGUGAAAAACUCCGGUGGUAUAAGAUGGACCCGCGUUGGAUUAGCUAGUUGGUGGGGUAACGGCCCACCAAGGCGACGAUCCAUAGCCGGCCUGAGAGGGUGAACGGCCACAUUGGGACUGAGACACGGCCCAGACUCCUACGGGAGGCAGCAGUGGGGAAUAUUGCACAAUGGGGGAAACCCUGAUGCAGCGACGCCGCGUGAAGGAAGAAGUAUCUCGGUAUGUAAACUUCUAUCAGCAGGGAAGAUAAUGACGGUACCUGACUAAGAAGCCCCGGCUAACUACGUGCCAGCAGCCGCGGUAA
rnacentral:rRNA from 1 species